UACGUAGGGGGCAAGCGUUGUCCGGAUUCAUUGGGCGUAAAGAGCGUGUAGGCGGCCAGGUAGGUCGGUUGUGAAAACUGGAGGCUCAACCUUCAGAGGUCGACCGAAACCAUCUGGCUAGAGUCCGGGAGAGGAGAGUGGAAUUCCUGGUGUAGCGGUGAAAUGCGCAGAUAUCAGGAAGAACACCCGUGGCGAAAGCGGCUCUCUGGAACGGUACUGACGCUGAGACGCGCAAGCGUGGGGAGCGAACAGG
rnacentral:rRNA from 1 species